CCGAUUUGACUACAUAUGUCUGUGCGCGCGCGCCGGGGAGACUGACCUAGACACGGUGGCCUCGUCUAUUUCGCUCGAGAAUAUAUAAGUUCUUGCCCAGAAAUCCGCUUCUAGAAAAUCGCCGUUCCCGAGUUUGGCCACACGAGGGCAGUCAAGCUCCAUCUAGCGCAAUACACAACGCCGCCUGAAACUGAAGCUUUCUCAAAGGACAGUGGCGAGGCAUAAAACAGGAGGCUAACGAGCUGCUUGCUAAACUUCGAUCUGAGCAGAGCGCACUGCUACGUCCUUCAUCAGCUCAAGAAAGUGCCACACGGGCCAGCUAUCAGAUUUCCUGUAUUUUACAUCAAGAACAGCUAUGUGCCCAAUCCAUCGGGCUUGUGGAUGUGAUGCGUGACGUCGUCAAAAUUGUGAAUGAUAUACGCUCCAAGGUGCUCUCUCACCUGCAGUUCAAGGUACUGUUGGAUGAGAUGGAUGCACAAUAUGGUGAU